UACGUAGGGUGCAAGCGUUAAUCGGAAUUACUGGGCGUAAAGCGUGCGCAGGCGGUUUUGUAAGUUUGUCGUGAAAUCCCCGGGCUCAACCUGGGAAUUGCGAUGAAGACUGCAAGGCUAGAAUCUGGCAGAGGGGGGUAGAAUUCCACGUGUAGCAGUGAAAUGCGUAGAGAGUCCGGAAGAACACCGGUGGCGAAGGCGGUUAGCUGGGCAGUUGCUGACACUGAGGCGCGACAGCGUGGGGAGCAAACAG
rnacentral:rRNA from 1 species